ACCUCCCAUCGCUUCUCUUGUUUAUCCACUGGGGCUAGCAGGAGUGCGGGAGGUGGCGGCAGUGGCAACUGCUGUCUCCCCAACCACGCCCUUCUUGAUUGACGAGGAUUGAGGAACACCGUGGAGGGUGAGAAGAUGGUGCAGUAGCCACCCAGAUAGGCGGCCAGUCGCAACAUCGAGUUGCAUCCAGAUCAAAGAUAACGCCUAUUUUUUCGUCCAUAUACACUACCACUAGAAGAGAGCCAACCAACAUGCCAUUUUCUCAUACUUCACACCAUUAUUCACUCAAUAAAAGAAGCCAUCACACCUUUGAUAUGUUGAGUACGAGAUGAGCUCCAAGCUCUAGUUCCUCAUCUAAUUUUCCUGUCUUGCUGCUCUGGUCUCGUGAAUUUCUGCAUCGUGAAAGGUUAGCUUUCUCGCUGUGCCAUUGUUAUUCUGCCCUAGUUUAUGGUUGUUCCUGUUGAUAGGGCGAUGAUCGCACCAUCCCAGCCUCUGUUUCUCGUAUGUUUUCCAGAUAAUUAGUUCUUUCACCAGUUAGUUAUUCCUAGAGGGUAUAGACUGGCCUCUGUUUUUUCACAGGGUUGAAGGAAGUGUUCUUGUUUGUGUUUGAGCCUUUGCUCGGUUGGUGAAUUUCAUGCCCCUUCUCCUUUUUCAAGGAAAAACACACACACAACAUUAGAUUUCUGGCAUUUCUUAUUCCAGCUAGAUUUCAGUGUGUAUUUGUCCACCUGUUUUUCUUCACAUGGAUUGCCGUUGGGUCGCAUUACUUGCUUGGGCAGGCUCUGUUUUUAGGGCACAACAUGUUAGCUUGUAGCCCUGCAAUUUUUCGGAUCACUGUUAAUACCUUGGCUACUUUUCUGAAUAUCGAUUUUUUAGAUAAUAAUUUUGUGAACACAAGAUGACAUUGAUUCCUCUACUUCCAUUAAUAUUGUGUAAAAUAGAUUAGAACACAUAGUCCGAAUCCCCCAAAUCUGUUAUUAGGACAUAUGUUUGCCAUUUUUGUCAAUUAAUAUUCAUGAAAUAUUGUGGAUGGUCCAAAUGAAAUAAGUGUCGUUAUGCUUCAUGUCCAUUCCGCUCCUAUCUUUGAAAGUCCAAACUACAUUCAUCGGAGACACUAUUGUCUUUUAGUACAAAAACAGAGUGUCGUUACUCUGUUUCAACAACUGGGCUAGGGUCACAAGUAAGCCUUGCUACUGCUUAUGCUAAUUGUCCAUUCGAAAUGACCUAUUCUAUCUUUGUGAAAUUCUGUUAGCAACUGAACUUGCAGGUUAUAUAUGGAUGACAUUGUUGAUGCAUUGCUUCUCAAGCUUCACUCAAAGAUAUGUUAUCAUAGGGAUGCCAGUGUCGACUACCUGGAAAUCAAGGCCACGGUUGAUAAACUCGUAGAGGCGAACAAAAGGCUCAAGGAUGAGAAAGUGGACUUCCAGGAUGUCAUUAAUAUGGUCACAGAAGACAAGGAGAAUUUGCAGCAUGACUGUCAAGUAAUCAAGGAGCGGGUGGCAAAAAAGGAGGAGCAACUUGAAACUGUAAAGAAGGAACUUGAUGAAGCAAAACAUGAACAUGUGGCAGCAAAGAAGGAGCUUGAGGAAGAAAAACUUGGCCAUGUGGCAACAAAGAAGGAGCUUGCAGCGGCACACCAACAACUUGCUCAAAGGAACGAAGAGCUGGAGAUUUUAAGGAAGAAGCUUCAAGAGAGUGAACAUGUACCUUCCAAAAGGGUAACAAGAUCUGCACAUAAACGGCAAAUGCUACUCAAAGGAUCGCUGAGCAAUGAUGCGGAUGGACAUCGCCCAAAGAAACAUAAGUCCUAUCAGCAUGCAAGCCAUACACUCUAAUACAGGUCGAGGUGGAACAGUGUGUGCUAGCAGUUGCAAGUGAGGAAGGAAGCCAUCGUCGUAGCAGGCCAUGACUAACACUAGCAACUAGCAAGCAUGCAAGAAAGUUGUACUAUAUUAGCUACCUAUGACGCUGGUGUUGAAUAGUGUUAUAAUCCCCAUUUCAUGUAUAUUUUAGAAUUUAUUUCAGAACCUUGGUGUGUAAAAAAUUUGGCACUUUGAUUCGCGCUUCUACUAGUAACUGAUGUAUAAAUAUUAUAUGACUUAAUUUUAUGAAACCUUCAUUUAACGGUCCUUAA